AGUGCGCAUGCACAGCCGGGUGAGAUCCAGCUGUUGGGAAGGCCCUGUGUUUUCUGUCUGUCCGUACUCUGUUAUAAAGGGAUUGAGGUUGCAAUUUUCUCUUCCUUUCUGUCUUCCACCUCACGCCGGUCUCAGCGAUGGGGAAGCUGAACGUAGUGUUGCUGAGGUACCUACAGAAAGAUGAUUUCAGAGUGCUGGUUGGGGUCGAAAUGGGAAUGAAGAAUCAUGAAAUUGUUCCACCUAGUCUUAUUGCUUCAAUAUCAAACCUUAAACAUGGUGGAUGCAACAAGAUCCUGCGUGAAUUGGUAAAACACAAACUGUUGGCUUACGAGAGAACAAAAACGGUUCAGGGUUAUCGAUUGACAAAUACUGGAUAUGAUUAUCUCGCCCUGAAAACUCUUUCUUCACGAAAUGUCUUUAAUUCAGUUGGAAAUCAAAUGGGUGUUGGCAAAGAAUCUGAUAUUUAUAUUGUUGCAAAUGAAGAAGAAGAACAGUUUGCUUUAAAACUGCAUAGGUUGGGUCGUACAUCAUUUCGGAAUCUGAAGAACAAACGUGACUACCACAAACACAGACAAAAAAUGUCAUGGCUUUAUCUCUCUCGUCUUGCAGCAAUGAAAGAAUAUGCAUAUAUGAAGGCAUUAUAUGACCGAGGAUUCCCUGUUCCCAAACCAGUUGAUUUCAACAGACAUGCUGUAGUCAUGGAGCUCAUAAAUGGCUACCCCAUGUGCCAAGUUCACCAGCUUGAUAAUCCUGCAGAAACAUACAACGAAUUAAUGGAUCUUAUUGUUAAACUCGCUAAUCAUGGUUUAAUUCAUGGUGACUUCAAUGAAUUUAACUUGAUGUUGGAUGAUGAGGACCAUAUCACAAUGAUUGACUUUCCACAGAUGGUAUCUACAUCUCAUCUAAAUGCUGAAUGGUAUUUUAAUCGGGAUGUAAAAUGCAUUUGUGAUUUUUUUAUCAAGCGCUUUAACUACGAAAGUGAACUUUAUCCAACCUUUAAGGAUAUCAGGAAGGUGGCAUCACUGGAUGUGGAGAUUGAGGUCAGUGGUUACACUAAAGAGCUCCAAGAAGAUUCUGAGCUGCUACAUGCUUCAGGCCCUGAAACAGAUGAUGUUGAAACCGGAUUUUCAGAAGAUGAUUUUGAUGAUGAAAGUAAAUUCUCAAAUAAAACAUCUGAAAAUGUUGAUUUGGUUUUUGAAAAUAAGACAGACACUGAAGAGAUUCCUACUCCUAAUUUAAACAUUGUGGAAGAAACAUGUGCAGAAGUUGCAGAAACCAGUGAAGUUGAAAAUAUUGAUCUGCAAAAUCUGAAAAUUAAUGUACAUGAUACUGAAAAGCAAUAUAUUGAUUUUGUUGAUACUGUUGAACUCUCUGAUGUUGAUGCAGAAUAUAAUCUUGUACAUUCCUCCGAAACCGCACAUCGUACAGGCCAGAGUGAUGAGGAUCUAAGAGAUGAAGAGAAAUGCCCAGACUUAGUCAAUCUAUCAACUCAAAACAAGGAAUUUAGACCUUUCAGAAAUGAACUGAGCUUGAUGCAUGUCAGUGAGCACAGACAGAGGACUACCAGUUUAAGUUCUGUGGGCAGUCUGCUAAGUACUUCAACAAUUCCUUCAGAUGUCAUCAAAAGGAAAGUUAAACAACAACUAUCCAAACAGCAGAAGGCAGCAAUGAGAAGACGCUUGCAGAAGGGAGAGGCCAACAUCUAUACUAAACAGCGACGAGAAAACAUGCAGACUAUUAAAUGGAGUGCUGAAGCAGAAAACUUUUGGGGUUGAUCUUGGCAAUCAAAAGACUGGAGAUAGUUAUCCCGUCAAUCUAGGCUGAAUUGAAGACCAGGUUCCAGAAUGUUUUUUCUUUCUUUAUUCAUUCACUGGAUGAGGGUGUCUUUGGCCAGACAGCAUUUAUUGCCCAGAGGAAACUUAAGAAUCAACCACAGUGCUGUGGGUCUGGAGUCACACGUAUACCAGCAGAAGCAGGCAUGCAGUUUGAAGAUCAAUGACUAUGAACAGAGCGUACUGAAGAAUCUUGAGAUAGAGGGUGUGCAGGGGCAGACGGUCAGGACCUCUCUGAAUGCCAUGGAUAAUACCAUUCUUCAUUUUUAAUGCUUUAUCUCUGUAUUCAGUACCUCAAGGCCUUCAUCAUUGUACUUCAGCAGAACACAAAAUGUCUUGUAAACUUUGUUUCAAAGUGUGAUUUAUUGUUAGCAUUGAAGAAUAUGGACUGCAGUAGUUCAAGAGGGCAGCUCAUCACUACCUUCUCAAGGACAAUAAAUGCUGGCCCAGCCAACAAUGCCAAAUCCUGCAAGUGAAUAAAACGUAGCUUCUUGAGCUUUUAAAAUGUUCAAGAGACAAAAAUGUAAUAGAACUUAGUAACUGAUUCAUUAUAAUUCUCCCACUUUUAUACAUACAUUUACUU